rnacentral:lncRNA from 10 species
UCCCAGGGGCAUGGAGGGACAUGGGAAUUAAGAUCCAGGUGUGAGCAACUGGUUUUGGUCUUGGAGAUCUGCUACGUGAGGGUGAGCCGCUGUCACAUCGAGGCAGAUGCCUCGUGCUUGGCCACAGAGUGCCCUUCCUAAGAGAACCGAGUCAUUUCUGCGUACCGCCGCCACGGCCUUCAGUUCGUCCUCUCGGACGCAAGGUGGCGCGUGUCCUGGAUCCCGUGGAAAGGUGACCCCCACUGGGGACACGGCCAAAACUGGCUGGUCAGGGCAGCCAUGGUGGAGAAGGGGCAGUUUUAGACUCCUUGGCGGCAUCAGUUGGCCAAAUCUGAGGUGACAAAAAAACAGGGUCCACCUGUACUGGUGGACAGCAGUCCAUGUGUGAGGUGAGGGUGAGUGUGCCAGGAGAGUGUAUGAGCGUGAGUGUGGUCUGAGUGUGCAAAUGAGUCUAAGUGUGUGGAUGUAAGUGUGACUGUGGGGGUGACUGUGAAUGUGGGGGUGUGUGGGGUGUGUGAUUGUGGGGUUAUGUGUAUGUAUGAGUGUGUGGGGAUGUGGAAGUGAGUCUGGGGGUGUGUGUGGAUGGUUGUGAGGGUGGCGUGUGUAUGUGUAAAUAUGGGGUAUAUGAGUAUUCAAGUGGAGAUGCAAGUGUGGUUGUGGGAGUGUGUAGGGGCGUGAGUGUGGG